CAGUAGCGUAUAUUAAAGUUGUUGCAGUUAAAAUGCUCGUAGUUGAAGUUCGGAUGCAGCAGAGCUUGGAAACGCUGUUAUGGUGCUUCCGUUGCUUUUGCUUGUCCACAGUGCGUUGCAAGUACGUAUGUGCUUGUGCGUGCAUUUUACUUUGGGAAACAUAGGGUGUUCCACGCAUGUUACGGCAUGAAUAUUCCAGCAUGGGAUAAUCUGGUACGACUUCCAAUCUGCCAUUUUGGUUCGUAGGUUGGAAGUAAUGAUUAAUAGGGACUGUCGGGGGCAUUGGUAUUUGACUGUCAGAGGUGAAAUUCUUAGAUUCGUUGAGGACCAACCACUGCGAAAGCAUUUGUCAAGGAUGUCUCCAUUAA
rnacentral:rRNA from 1 species